rnacentral:rRNA from 1 species
UACGUAGGGAGCGAGCGUUGUCCGGAUUUACUGGGUGUAAAGGGUGCGUAGGCGGCAAUGCAAGUCAGGCGUGAAAGCUCGGGGCUUAACCCCGAAACUGCGCUUGAAACUGUGUUGCUUGAGUGAAGUAGAGGUAGGCGGAAUUCCUGGUGUAGCGGUGAAAUGCGUAGAGAUCGGGAGGAACACCAGUGGCGAAGGCGGCCUACUGGGCUUUAACUGACGCUGAGGCACGAAAGCAUGGGUAGCAAACAGG